UCCGGCUUAACGCCGGCAGUCUCCCUUGCGGGUCAGCCAAUGUUUCCAUCGACUUACCACGAGUAGUUCAAGCCCAGGUAAGGUUCUUCGCGUUGCGUCGAAUUAAACCACAUGCUCCACCGCUUGUGCGGGCCCCCGUCAAUUCCUUUGAGUUUUAAUCUUGCGACCGUACUCCCCAGGCGGGGCACUUAAUGCGUUAGCUGCGGCACCCAGGGGGUCAAUACCCCGGACACCUAGUGCCCAUCGUUUACAGCGUGGACUAC
rnacentral:misc_RNA from 1 species